rnacentral:rRNA from 1 species
AUUGAACGUUGGCGGCAGGCCUAACACAUGCAUGUCGAGCGGAUGAAGGGAGCUUGCUCCUGGAUUCAGCGGCGGACGGGUGAGUAAUGCCUAGGAAUCUGCCUGGUAGUGGGGGAUAACGUCCGGAAACGGGCGCUAAUACCGCAUACGUCCUGAGGGAGAAAGUGGGGGAUCUUCGGACCUCACGCUAUCAGAUGAGCCUAGGUCGGAUUAGCUAGUUGGUGGGGUAAAGGCCUACCAAGGCGACGAUCCGUAACUGGUCUGAGAGGAUGAUCAGUCACACUGGAACUGAGACACGGUCCAGACUCCUACGGGAGGCAGCAGUGGGGAAUAUUGGACAAUGGGCGAAAGCCUGAUCCAGCCAUGCCGCGUGUGUGAAGAAGGUCUUCGGAUUGUAAAGCACUUUAAGUUGGGAGGAAGGGCAGUAAGUUAAUACCUUGCUGUUUUGACGUUACCAACAGAAUAAGCACCGGCUAACUUCGU